UGGGGAAUUUUGGACAAUGGGCGAAAGCCUGAUCCAGCAAUGCCGCGUGCAGGAUGAAGGCCUUCGGGUUGUAAACUGCUUUUGUACGGAACGAAAAAGCUUCUCCUAAUACGAGAGGCCCAUGACGGUACCGUAAGAAUAAGCACCGGCUAACUACGUGCCAGCAGCCGCGGUAAUACGUAGGGUGCGAGCGUUAAUCGGAAUUACUGGGCGUAAAGCGUGCGCAGGCGGUUAUGUAAGACAGAUGUGAAAUCCCCGGGCUCAACCUGGGAACUGCAUUUGUGACUGCAUGGCUAGAGUACGGUAGAGGGGGAUGGAAUUCCGCGUNUAGCAGUGAAAUGCGUAGAUAUGCGGAGGAACACCGAUGGCGAAGGCAAUCCCCUGGACCUGUACUGACGCUCAUGCACGAAAGCGUGGGGAGCAAACAGGAUUAGAUACCCUGGUAGUCCACGCCCUAAACGAUGUCAACUGGUUUGUUGGGGAAUUAGUUUUCUCAGUAACGAAGCUAACGCGUGAAGUUGACCGCCUGGGGAGUACGGCCGCAAGGUUGAAACUCAAAUGAAUU
rnacentral:rRNA from 1 species